GGGGCAUUGAAGGCUUUUUGCUGUUGUUUGUGUCAUUCUUUGUCUUAAGUCAACAGGAUUUGAAGAAUUGGGGUACAUAUCUUUUUUUUAAAGAUUUUUUUUUCCUUUUUCUCCCCAAAGCCCCCCAGUACAUAGUUGUAUAUUCUUCAUUGUGGGUCCUUCUAGUUGUGGCAUGUGGGACGCUGCCUCAGCGUGGCUUGAUGAGCGGUGCCAUGUCCGCGCCCAGGACUUGAACCAACGAAACACUGGGCCGCCUGCAGCGGAGCGCGCGAACUUAACCACUCAGCCACAGGGCCAGCCCCUGGGGUAUAUUUUUUAGAGUUUAGCCUGGGAGACGAUUCAUCAAUGUCAAAGAUACACUUUAGAGAUAAUUGCUGAAAUCUUCAUCAUUCCCACUAACCAAACUCGGUCUCCCAGGCUGGUGUGGGGUUUGCUGGUGUUGGAGCCGGGGGAUCUGCGUGUGAGUCCCGGUUUCGUCAGGAAUUUGCCAAGUGGCCUCAGGCACGUGGCUUCGCCUCUCCUUGCCUCGGCUUCUUCACCUGUGAAGGCAGGCUGGCCGUCCUCGCGUCCGCUGCACCCCCAAACUGCAAGGGGCACACGAGAUCGUGGCGGUGCCGCAUUUGGUGAGCUACAAAGGUGCCAGCCUACCCAUGGCGGGGCUGCUAGUUUACCCCAUUGCUUCUUGAAACUUGAAGAUCUUUUAGAAUAAACAAACAAACAAACAAACACCCCUAGGGAAACUGACAACAUCCGGAUGUUACCGCAGGCCAGGAGCUCAGUGACUCUCCCAACCCCGCCACACACCCAGGAGAAAGCAGAGGGCUCUCAAGGGGGCCAGAGCUUGUUGGGCUUUGGAAAGGACUUCUCUCACCACAAAGGACACAGGCAUUGGCCAAGAGUCAAGAGCCAAGACGCCGACUCCAUCCACAGACGAUGCCGAGGAAACCCUGGAUCGCCAAGGCCCCAGGAGCCCAGUGCCCUUGGGAGGCUGGGAGCCCAGGCGCAGAAACUAGAAGGGGGCAGAGCCUUGUCUUUCCAACGAACAAUCUGAGCUUUUGUACUGACAUGACAGGCAGGACCUCUGUGCAAGGACGUGCGAGGAGGUCGAUGGAAAGCAAGGCAUGGUACCUGCAAGAGGCAGGUGAGGGACACGCCAGCCACCCCCUCUCCCCAGAAGGUGGCAUAGGCCCUCUGCCCCCAGGCUUGUUGCCCUGAGCGUGGGACCCCCCUUACGGCCCUGGCAGGCAUCUAUUCCAGGAGAGGGAGCAGAGAGGCAGAAGAGGAAAAAGGUGUGGAGAAGUCAGCUGCAACCAGGUCCUACCACGGCUGCCAGGGCCCAGCUGGGUAGAUUUAGAAUGUGGUCCAGCCGGCCGUCCUGUCUCCUAGCAGGAGAAUGUGAGCCGAUGGGAGCGCACAAGCCUGCCUGUUGCAGCGGGCACGCACCAGCUCCCAGCCCCAGGAAAGAUCCCCAAGGGCAGCCGUUCUCGGCGUUUUGCAGAGCUGGGUAGACAAGGGUCUCAGUCCCCUGGUCUCUCUUUGCACCGGCACCAGUGUCCUCUGUCCUCCCAUCAUGUCUUCGUCGUUGGGUGUCCCCUGAGCACUGAGGACAGGCAGAGGCUCCUGGCACAGCCCUUGCUCCUCAGGAUCGCCUAAGUCUGCUUCAAGAGAAGGUCCAGUACACGGAGUGAGAGAGAGACUGAGUGGUCUGCAGCGCCCGUCUGAGCCCUUGCUCCAUCCUCCCUGCAGCAAGCAAACUGCAGGACGGGGCCCUGUGCUGCCUCUGCGGGGCUCUGGGAGGCAGGCAGCAGCACGGGAACAGAAAGGGGACCCUCACUGUUCGUGCUGCUCAAGACACGAGGUAAGUCUAGGGAAGCCCCGUCCUUCAGUCCCC
rnacentral:lncRNA from 1 species